AACGCAUUAAGCACUCCGCCUGGGGAGUACGGUCGCAAGACUGAAACUCAAAGGAAUUGACGGGGGCCCGCACAAGCGGUGGAGCAUGUGGUUUAAUUCAAAGCAACGCGAAAAACCUUACCAGGUCUUGACAUCCUCUGACAAUCCUAGAGAUAGGACGUCCCCUUCGGGGGCAGAGUGACAGGUGGUGCAUGGUUGUCGUCAGCUCGUGUCGUGAGAUGUUGGGUUAAGUCCCGCAACGAGCGCAACCCUUGAUCUUAGUUGCCAGCAUUCAUUUGGGCACUCUAAAGUGACUGCCGGUGACAAACCGGAAGAAGGUGGGGAUGACGUCAAAUCAUCAUGCCCCUUAUGACCUGGGCUACACACGUGCUACAAUGGACAGAACAAAGGGCAGCGAAACCGCGAGGUUAAGCCAAUCCCACAAAUCUGUUCUCAGUUCGGAUCGCAGUCUGCAACUCGACUGCGUGAAGCUGGAAUCGCUAGUAAUCGCGGAUCAGCAUGCCGCGGUGAAUACGUUCCCGGGCCUUGUACACACCGCCCGUCACACCACGAGAGUUUGUAACACCCGAAGUCGGUGAGGUAACCUUUUAGGAACCACCCUCCAAAGGUGGAACAAAUAAUUGGGGUGAAAUCUUA
rnacentral:rRNA from 1 species